rnacentral:rRNA from 1 species
UAGGGAAUAUUGCGCAAUGGGCGAAAGCCUGACGCAGCGACGCCGCGUGGGUGAUGAAGGCCUUCGGGUCGUAAAACCCUGUCGGGUGGAACGAAUUCCGCCUCGCUAAUACCGAGGCGGGUUGACGGUACCACCGAAGGAAGCCCCGGCUAACUACGUGCCAGCAGCCGCGGUAAUACGUAGGGGGCGAGCGUUGUUCGGAUUUACUGGGCGUAAAGAGCGAGUAGGCGGUUCGAUAAGUCGGAGGUGAAAUCCCUGGGCUUAACCGAGGACCCG